rnacentral:misc_RNA from 1 species
CCUGCGGAAGGAUCAUUACCACAUAUCAUCGGGGGGAAACUUCGGUUCUCCUGUCUGAACCCUUGUCUUUUGCGUACUAUUUGUUUCCUUGGUGGGCUUGCCUGCCGAUAGGACAACCAUUAAACCUUUUGUAAUUGCAAUCAGCGUCAGAAAAAACAUAAUAAUUACAACUUUCAACAACGGAUCUCUUGGUUCUGGCAUCGAUGAAGAACGCAGCGAAAUGCGAAAAGUAGUGUGAAUUGCAGAAUUCAGUGAAUCAUCGAAUCUUUGAACGCACAUUGCGCCCCUUGGUAUUCCAUGGGGCAUGCCUGUUCGAGCGUCAUUUGUACCUUCAAGCUCUGCUUGGUGUUGGGUGUUUGUCCCGCUUUUUUGCGUGGACUCGCCUCAAAGCAAUUGGCAGCCGGCGUACUAGCCUGGGAGCGCAGCACAUUUUGCGCAUCUCGACUUGAACGCUUGCAUCCAUCAAGUUACUUUUUAACUCUUGACCUCGGAUCAGGUAGGGAUACCCGCUGAACUUAAGCAUA